rnacentral:lncRNA from 1 species
UCUUAUAUUCUAAAAUGUGAAUUGUCUUCACAGAGAAAAAUGGCAUUUGUGAUUUUCACUUAGCCAUAGAUUUUCUCUGUGGUGAGAGAAAAAUACACUUUUAUGAUGGGAGUGAAAGCAAGAUUAUUACUGUAAACAUAUAUAGUCCCAUACCAAAAAGAAAAUUAAGCUGUCAUAACCUUGUAAAUUUUCAUUGUUUGUUUACUUUUAGUUGUUUUUGUUGUUGCUGCUGUUGGUUUUGCUUAUUUAUUUAUUUAUCCUUGUUCUAGACAGGACACUGCUGCUUCCAGACCCUCUAAAGCUCUUGUGGGUUGCUAAGAUUCAGCUUCACUUGUGAAAAAUGUGUUUCCAUGGCAGGACAGCUAAAAAACAUGAGCAUUUCUGAGGUGCUGUGAGGUGAUUUUGCCAAGGUCAGUUUCCUUACUUCACCAAGUCCACUUGAGCAUAAAUCAGCCUUGUCUUUACGGUUUGUUUUUCUAUUGCCAUGGAGUGGGCUGUGUGUGUGGUUAAUGCUGAGAGAGGUGGUAUGCAGCAUAAACAAGCCUCUUUGGAUGAAGGGCUUCCAAAAGAAGGGGAACACCUGCCCAAGUGCUGCAGGCACACAUGCACUUCACAUCUCACUGCCUCCAGUACAGAACGCAACCUGCAGUGCAUUUGGACGUACGUUACAUUGAGAGAGCAUCCUCAGUUUUGUCUGGCGUAUGGACCAAAGCCCCACACAUUCCAUUGUGAAGGUAUCACUAAUGAUGUGCUAGUUCUCAAGGAUGUACCAGAGUGCUGCAGCUAACACCCGAUAACACUGCUCACUCCAGUGCUGGCACACUUUGCCUGCUGAGUGUAAAAUCUCUCAUGAAACAGAUCUGAAGCAGUAAGUGGGGAUCUGCAUUGACUUGCAGGACCAUGAGGCAAGUAGCACAAAAAUCAGUUCUUGCUCAUACUUCUCUUCUAUAUAGGCUAAAUAGAUGUCUUUGAAUGUCUUGUUUUUUCCCUUGUUUCCUGCAAACAGCAAAUGCAAGUGUUACUUGUGUUAUGAGUGCAUAGCAAUUUUCCUUUUUAAAGCAAAAUAGUUUAGCAUUUGGGUAAGAUUUUCCUUUUCCUUUUUCCCUUCCCCCCCCCCCCCUUUUUUUUUUUUUUUUUUUUUUUAAACCUGAGAGCAAUAAAAGCUGAGUUCUUAU